UUGUAAAGUAAGGGGGUGGAAAAUUAUCCCUAAGUUACCUCCUGGUUUAGAAAAGUCUUAAUGCUGUUUUAUAAUAACUCACCCACCUCUCCUCUUCCAUGAGCUCAGAGCGGCCCAGCCCUUGGAAUGUGUUUCUGCCACGACAAGGAAUACAGGAGGAGUUGAACAGGAAACCUGCCUCCUAUCAGAUUCACCUGAGGACGUGGGUUGUCACGAGCUCCCCAAACAAUAAAGCACUUUACGACAUAGGAGGCAUUAUUAUUAAGCUGUUUUCAGUCCCUGAUACCUGCAUGUUGUAGGACCAUGGUGCAUGAAGGAUUUUAAGGAGGCACUUUUGAAAUGUGAAAGGGACAUAGACUGUACAUCUGGAGCACAAAGGCAGGUUUAACCAGCUUUGUCCUGCUCGGCGCCAGUUGGAAGAGAGCAUCUGGCUUUGAAGUGUCUAAAGCCAGGCGUGACGCUGGAUUCUACAGCUGG
rnacentral:lncRNA from 10 species